rnacentral:rRNA from 1 species
AGUGAACGCUGGCGGCAGGCCUAACACAUGCAAGUCGAACGGCAGCACGGCAGUAGCAAUACUGUGGGUGGCGAGUGGCGGACGGGUGAGGAAUACAUCGGGAUCUACCCUGUUGUGGGGGAUAACGUAGGGAAACUUACGCUAAUACCGCAUAAGAACUGAGGUUGAAAGCGGCGGACCGCAAGGCGUCGCGCGAUUGGAUGAACCGAUGUCCGAUUAGCUAGUUGGCGGGUAAAGGCCCACCAAGGCGACGAUCGGUAGCUGGUCUGAGAGGACGACCAGCCACACUGGAACUGAGACACGGUCCAGACCCCUACGGGAGGCAGCAGUGGGGAAUAUUGGACAAUGGGCGCAAGCCUGAUCCAGCCAUGCCGCGUGGGUGAAGAAGGCC